rnacentral:rRNA from 1 species
GACGAACGCUGGCGGCGUGCUUAACACAUGCAAGUCGAACGCUGAAGCUUGGUGCUUGCACUGGGUGGAUGAGUGGCGAACGGGUGAGUAAUACGUGAGUAACCUGCCCUUGACUCUGGGAUAAGCCCGGGAAACUGGGUCUAAUACUGGAUAUGACAUGCCACUGCAUGGUGGUGUGUGGAAAGGGUUUUACUGGUUUUGGAUGGGCUCACGGCCUAUCAGCUUGUUGGUGGGGUAAUGGCCUACCAAGGCGACGACGGGUAGCCGGCCUGAGAGGGUGACCGGCCACACUGGGACUGAGACACGGCCCAGACUCCUACGGGAGGCAGCAGUGGGGAAUAUUGCACAAUGGGCGGAAGCCUGAUGCAGCGACGCCGCGUGAGGGAUGACGGCCUUCGGGUUGUAAACCUCUUUCAGCACGGAAGAAGCGAGAGUGACGGUACGUGCAGAAGAAGCGCCGGCUAACUACGUG